rnacentral:rRNA from 1 species
GACGAACGCUGGCGGCGUGCUUAACACAUGCAAGUCGAACGAUGAAGCCUUUUGGGGUGGAUUAGUGGCGAACGGGUGAGUAACACGUGGGCAAUCUGCCCUGUACAUUGGGAUAAGCCUUGGAAACGAGGUCUAAUACCGGAUAUGACUGGCCUUCGCAUGGGGGUUGGUUGAAAGUUCUGGCGGUACAGGAUGAGCCCGCGGCCUAUCAGCUUGUUGGUGGGGUAAUGGCCUACCAAGGCGA